rnacentral:lncRNA from 1 species
AGGAAGGCUCAGGAAAAUUCUGAUUUAUGCCCAGAAGACAGUAGGUUUUGGAAAACUCUACUUUUAAGAUGAAAACAAGAUUAAAGGGAAGGAGAAAGCUUGGUCUCUGCACCAGCACUCUGCCCCAACUGGCCAUGUCUCAGGAGAAAAGAAUUCCUCUCAUCUCUCUACAGCAGCCUUUUCUGCUUAACUUAGACCCCCGCCGAAGCUGGGUGACGAAUACAAAAGGUUUCUAAAGAGAGAAAUGGCAAGGAGAGAGCUUGGAGAAGAAGCAUUGGAUGCAAAGAACAGGCAAGAAUUGGUAGGGAGGAUAUACCACUAACGGACAGCAUUACCAAGACAUCAUACAGGACUCAAGAUUUAACAGCAUUUCUUUGACUUUCUGGCCUCCUCUCGAGACUUUGAUUUAUUUCUACAAGCCGUAUAACAGUGUUCUUGGCAGCCAAUAAGAAGUCUUCAAUUGGACACUCUAAUCAGGCUCUUUUCCUUGGCAACAAGUUCUAG